rnacentral:rRNA from 1 species
AUUGAACGCUGGCGGCAGGCUUAACACAUGCAAGUCGAGCGGGGUGAUGGUGCUUGCACUAUCACUUAGCGGCGGACGGGUGAGUAAUGCUUAGGAAUCUGCCUAUUAGUGGGGGACAACAUCUCGAAAGGGAUGCUAAUACCGCAUACGUCCUACGGGAGAAAGCAGGGGAUCACUUGUGACCUUGCGCUAAUAGAUGAGCCUAAGUCGGAUUAGCUAGUUGGUGGGGUAAAGGCCUACCAAGGCGACGAUCUGUAGCGGGUCUGAGAGGAAUGUCCGCCACACUGGGGCUGAGACACGGCCCGGACUCCUACGGGGGGCAGCAGUGGGGAAUAUUGGACAAUGGGGGGAACCCUGAUCCAGCCAUGCCGCGUGUGUGAAGAAGGCCUUAUGGUUGUAAAGCACUUUAAGCGAGGAGGAGGCUCUUUUGGUUAAUACCCAAGAUGAGUGGACGUUACUCGCAGAAUAAGCACCGGCUAACUCUGUGCCAGCAGCCGCCGUAA